UACGUAGGGUGCAAGCGUUGUCCGGAAUUAUUGGGCGUAAAGAGCUCGUAGGCGGUCUGUUGCGUCGGCUGUGAAAACCCGAGGCUCAACCUCGGGCCUGCAGCCGAUACGGGCAAACUAGAGUUCGGCAGGGGAGACUGGAAUUCCUGGUGUAGCGGUGAAAUGCGCAGAUAUCAGGAGGAACACCGGUGGCGAAGGCGGGUCUCUGGGCCGAUACUGACGCUGAGGAGCGAAAGCGUGGGGAGCGAACAGG
rnacentral:rRNA from 1 species